rnacentral:tRNA from 3 species
GGCCGGAUGGCGAAGUGGUAACGCUACGGUCUGCAAAACCGUCAUGCGCGGGUUCGAAUCCCGCUCCGGCCUCCA